rnacentral:rRNA from 1 species
AAUGAACGCUGGCGGCAUGCCUAACACAUGCAAGUCGAACGAGACCUUCGGGUCUAGUGGCGCACGGGUGCGUAACGCGUGGGAACCUGCCCUUAGGUUCGGAAUAACUCUCCGAAAGGGGUGCUAAUACCGGAUAAUGUCUUCGAACCAAAGAUUUAUCGCCUUUGUAUGGGCCCGCGUUGGAUUAGCUAGUUGGUAGGGUAAAAGCCUACCAAGGCGACGAUCCAUAGCUGGUCUGAGAGGCUGAUCAGCCACACUGGGACGGAGACACGGCCGGGACUCUUACGGGAGGCAGGAGUGGGGAAUAUUGGACAAUCGGGGAAAGCCUGAUGCAGCAAGGCCGGGUGAGUGAUGAAGGCCUUAGAGUUGUAAAGCUCUUUUACCCGGGAUGAUAAUGACAGUACCGGGAGAAUAAGCUCCGGCUAACUCCGUG